ensembl:lncRNA LINC01193 long intergenic non-protein coding RNA 1193
AGUAACACUCUGGGAGGGCUCAGGCCACAUCACGAAAUGUGACAGGAUAGCCUUGAACUCAUCAAUUGCUGGGUAAGAAAGAAUUUUAAUGCAAUGGCAAACAACCAAUCAAACAAGCAAACAAAAACAAUAAACCCUUCCUUGAGGACCAAGAAGACAUUGAUUAGCUAACCUAAGAGCUCCAGGUGGAGACCUAGGUCCUGAUUGGGUUUCUGAAUUUGACCACUAGGCAGAAAACUAGCACCCAAAACCAGUUGGAAUAAAAUUACCCACCUACAGUGGAGCCAAGGCCCCCAGAUCCUUUUUGUCAGGGGCACCUCAAACUCAACUCCAAAAUUGAUCUAAUGAACUUUCCCAAACCACAUUCCCUUCUUGCAUUUCUGAGAGAAUGGAUUCCCAUUCAUCUGACUACAGUGCUACCCUGAAAGCAGAUCCAGAGACUAAGAUUCACCUGCAGCAAGGUAAGCUGUCAUCAGUUGGAGGUAAGCAGAAGACAGUAGAGAGUACAGAGCCCUGGACUGUGACUCAGAGGAUGAGCACCAGAUCCAGUUUGCUGUGCCACAGUGCCUUCUCCAAAGUCACUCACAGAAGGCAUCCCACUCAACCUCACCUUGGGGUAAAUCAAAAUAGUCCUCCUUCUGAAGCUACCGGGUAAAACGGUGGUAGCUGUGCAGCUGCUGCUGAUCAACAGGCUCCAGAAACAGCAGCAGGAGGUGAGCAGUCCCUGCGUUGGCCACCAAGUGGUAGGUGGCCAGCCCUACCUCCAAGUUGCACUGUUUACUUAUUCAUCUUUCAUGGUAAAGCCUCCAGUUGCCUAUUAUGAAAUCAGCAAUAAUCAUGUGUCCCCUGUCUGGGUCCCUGAAAAGAUGGAAAGAGGCAGAUCAGGCUGGUGCUCUGAGAAUGACAGACAUCAAACAAGAAUGAAAAGUGUCACCCUCCUUGGACUUAUUCAGUAACUCAUGCCCUUGAGCAAAGGAGGAUUUUCUAUCAAAGGACAUGGAUUUCUGUGUCUUUCUCUUGAGAUAACAUUGCUGGGUGACCACAGAAAGCUGGCUCUGGAAGCACAGAAGCUGCCUUUCCUUGAGUAAUAAUGUCUCUUCAAAGGGAGCUGGAGCAUGAGUAGUGUACAUGCCUCAGAUUUCAGUGAAAAGUUCAGAGGAGGCCUGAGAAGAAGGUCCUGGGAAUGAAUCAUCUAGAUGACUCAACCUUGCAAAGCCAUCCACCUCAUUGUGGAUAUCAUUCAAUACAUUUGGUGCUCCAUCA